ensembl:lncRNA
GACCUCUUGUCUUCUCUCAUUUCCCCACAUCCAGUGUUGUGAAGGCCUCCCCUCCUCUUCCCCCCCAAGGUGUGCAUUGCCUUUGAAAGGCUAGCAGUCUGAAGAUCUGUACAAGAUUUUAUCUUCAAGUUCAUUUGUGAAGUCGGUGAUUAAAGCCAGAUGGAUUUCACUUCUUAGAGUCCAGGAAUUGUCCUCCCUCCAGUGGUGACUGACCAGCCCGUUCCUGUGCUCCGUCAUGUAAGGUGGAUCCGUUCUCUCAGCUGCUCCUCGGAUCAUCCUGGAUGUGCUCUCUGCACGUCAUCUCUCAGCACAGACUUAAAGAAGACUCGUGAUGGGGCUUCCUUGGUGGCUCCGAUGUUGUGUCCGACUCUGCGACCCCAUGGACUGUAGCCCACCAGGCUCCUCUGUCCAUGGGAUUCUCCAGGCAAGGACACUGGAGCAGGUUGCCAUUUCUUCCUCCAAGGAGUCUUCCCAACCAAGGGACUGAACCCCCGUCUCUUGAGUGUCCCGCAUUAGCAGUGUGGGCGUCUCCUCGCUGAAUGUGACCUCAGCUCUGCAGGGGUGGAGGCGUCGCUGUUAAUCUGAAUAUAACCAUGAAGGAAGCACAGAGGGAUCUCAGCAGUGUGCGUGUCUGCUAAGUUAUGUGUCCUGUCUUCUCGACUUCAGAAACUACAGGGUGACUCUGAUAGGCCAUGACCCAGGGCCACCCGACUGCCUCCACCUGGGCCCUACUGGUGAUCAGGGUCUGCUGGCCUCAGGGAUGAUGGUGUGGAGGACCCUGCACUGGUUCAUCCCUAGACAGAUGCAUGGCCAUUACCAAAAGCCCCUAGGAUUUGGAGCUGUAAAUUUUCCAAGCCAGGCUUCAGCAAUAAGUGAACCGUGAACUUCCUGAUGUUCAAGCUGGUUUUAGAAAAGGCAGAGGAACCAGAGAUCAAAUUGCCAACAUCUGCUGGAUCUUGGAAAAAGCAAGAGAGUUCCAGAAAAACAUCUAUUUCUGCUUUAUUGACUAUGCCAAAGCCUUUGUGUGGAUCACAAUAAACUGUGGAAAAUUCUUCAAGAGAUGGGAAUACCAGACCACCUGACCUGCCUCUUGAUAAAUCUGUAUGCAGGUCAGGAAGCAACAGUUAGAACUGGACAUGGAACAACAGACUGGUUCCAAAUAGGAAAAGGAGUACGUCAAGGCUGUAUAUUGUCACCCUGCUUAUUUAACAUAUCCAGAGUACAUCAUGAGAAACACUGGACUGGAAGAAGCACAAGCUGGAAUCAAGAUUGCUGGGAGAAAUAUCAAUAACCUCAGAUAUGCAGAUGACACCACCCUUAUGGCAGAAAGUGAAGAGG